rnacentral:misc_RNA from 1 species
UGGCUCUGGCAUCGAUGAAGAACGCAGCGAAAUGCGAUAAGUAAUGUGAAUUGCAGAAUUCAGUGAAUCAUCGAAUCUUUGAACGCACAUUGCGCCCGACAGUAUUCUGGCGGGCAUGCCUGUUCGAGCGUCAUUACAACCCUCAAGCCCCCGGGCUUGGUGCUGGGGAUCGGGAAACCGCGGCGGCGUCCAGCCCCCGCGCCCCGUCCCCCAAAUGCAUCGGCGGUCACGCCGCGGCCUCUUGCGCGUAGUAGCUAACACCUCGCGCCGGAGCUCGUCGUGGUCCACGCCGUAAAACCCCCGACUUUUUAUCAAAGUUGACCUCGAAUCAGGUAGGACUACCCGCUGA